ACGCCCCCCCAAAUUUUUUUUUUAUAAAAUUUUUUGUUUCUCUUCAUUUCGAUUGAGUGAGAGAGAGAGAGAGAGAGACCAUCGAAAUUAGAAAAGAGCGCAGAUAAAAUUCUCGAUCUCGAUAUGUUAUCACCGAGCAAACAAUAGGAGUUGUGAUUUAAUCGACGAUCUCAAUCUGUUCUCUCUCGGUCUCAGAAUUUUCUUUGCCAAAAGGAACAAAGGGAAAUAAGAGACAUGGCGUCUGAAGCAAAGGAAAUCAUAGUACUUCUCAGACAAAUAUUAUGGUUUUCCAUGAGAAACAUUUACAGAUUGGGUCGUGAUCAUCCUUUUGUUUGGGGCACGACAUUUUUCUUGCUUCUACUAUAUAGAUAUCUUCCAUCUGUAUUUGGUUUUGUUCUUUAUUCGUCCCCUGUUGUUGUUUGCACUGCCCUUCUUCUUGGAACUCUUCUCCUUUACGCAGAUCCUAAUCUUCCUGAAACAGAAGAGGUACGAAAUAUCAAGGGAUCUAAAAAUUCUCAAACUGGUUUUAGUGAAGGUAAGAGCUUCUCAGUGGAGAACCAUGUGGCAAAACAUGCAGCACACUUGAGGAAAGAUCAUAAUUCUUCUUCUGAAUCUGAAUCUGAAUCUGAAUCUGAUCAUUCAGAAUCCGGGUCUGAUAUCAUUCCUAUGCUUGAUGAGCUUCACCCACUUUUAGAUAUUGAUGCUCCUCAGACUGCAAGAUCUGUUGAUAAUUCAGAUGCUGCCUCUAGUGGAGAUUCCGGGGAUCAAGAAUCAGAUGAUGGUAGCAUUGAGGACGAAACUGAAAUCCAAGAAGAUGAAGAAGAAGAUGAAGCACAGGAGGAGAAAGAUGAUGCCAACGAAGUCGUGUUAAAAUGGACCGCCGAUGAUCAGAAGAAUCUCAUGGAUCUUGGGACUUCUGAGCUGGAAAGGAACCAGAGGUUGGAGAACUUGAUUGCAAAAAGAAAAGCAAGGAAAUUUCUUAGUUUUCAUGCUCAGAGAAAUUUAAUAGAUUUUGAUUGUGAUGAUCCCGUGCCAAGUAAUUUUCAGAUACAACCCAUAUCUGCACUGAGAAGAAACCCUUUUGAUAUUCCCUUUGAAGAGGAAAGUACAGGUUUACCCUCUGUUCCCGGUUCAGCCCCGUCAGUUUUGCAACCGAGAAGAAACCCAUUUGAUAUUCCUUAUGAUGAAGAAGGAAAUAGUAGCCUCAACAGAGUUACUAUGCGACAAGAAUUUGUGCCUUUCUCCCUCGGUGCACCAUCUUCUGCGGGUAUUAAGCAAGAAGAACUUGGUUCUUUUUUGAAACCAUUUUUUGUUGCUGAUAGAAUUAAUUCAGAUGGUCCAGGAUUUGUGACAAAGGUUAGUUCUGCCCAUGAAUCUGAUACGAAUUCAUCAGAUACUGAUCAUGAUGAUCACAUGGACCGAGUAGAACCUGUAGAGAGAUAUAGUCAAUCGUCCGAGGAAGUUGAUUCUGUUGAUGCCCCUCGUGAGCAAAUCGGGGUUGAUGAAGGUAUAACCAUGGGUUUUAAUGCUUCUAAUGAUGCAGUUGAAAUGGAGCUUAGACAAGGUGAAUAUAGUUUACCCAAUUUAGACGCUGAGAAAUUGGAGGUUAUAGAAGAGAGAUACGAUGAUUCAAGCUCCUCUUCAUCAGAAGGACACUCAGAAAUUAAUCAUGAAUCUACAAGGGCAACUGAGAUGAUUAUUGACAGUCAAGGUAUUGAUCCGGUAUAUGAUUCUAGUCCUUCUGCAGUUGCAAAAUCCAUCUCUAACACUUCGACACAUGAUGAUGAAGAUGCUUUACCAUUUGACGGGUUCCAAACAGCUCCACAAGACAGAGGUAUAUGGGUAGCACCAUCGAGCUUAUCUUUCGUAGAUGAGAUCGAAUCAAGAUCAAGGGAGAUAAACGAAAUCAAGGAACAGGAUGUCCUCCAAGUUGAAGUACCUGGAAUCAGCGAAGAUUUUGCUCAUCCAAUGUCCCCUGUGCUUCCAAAAUUUGUCCUUCCUUCACCUUUGUUUGUGAGUUCGAGUGAUAAUGACAAUGAAGGAGAUGAAAUAAUUAAUAAUACUUCAACUGGAAAACCACUGACACCAAGGGAGGCGCCAAUAAUAUCGCAAUCUGAUAAAGCUGGUGAUAAACUAUUAAAUAUUGCGGAUUUGCCAUCAAUUCCUGAAGAUGAGCAGGAGACCAAAAUUGAACAAGCUGCAGCUUCUUCGGCUUUGACUGGUAUUGAGGAGCCUAGUGAAGGUUUAUCUGAGGAUAAUCACCUAGCUGCUGAUGGAAGUACUUUAGAUAUUGUAUCGAGUAUUGAACAAAGUGAUAAAACCUCAAAUGGAUCCGUAAAGGUAAAGGUAAAGGGGAGCUCUAAAGGCUUUGGAAAGAUGAAGAAUAUCGCAAAGUUCUGGUGAUUAUAAUUCAAACUUAGAUUCUGUUGUAGCUCAAGUUAUUUUGAGCAAGUUUAGAGAUAUAACUGCAAAUGGAAAAGAAUUUUUGAAUGCAUAGGGUUAUAUAUGUAUCCAAGGUUUGACCUCUUGGUAAUAAUGCUCCAUUUUGAAGUUCAUGCCCACUCGUUGCUUCCACCAUUUGAACAUUUGAAAACUGUUUUCUCCCUGAAACAGUCCCGCUCGCUGAGUCGGUUAGGUUUUAUGCAAGUUGCAAGCACUUUGAUCUGAUUCUGAUAUGAUUUCUUGGUUAUGUAUGAUGUUGUCUCUAGCCCUGAAACAAAGGAACUCGU